rnacentral:rRNA from 1 species
UACGUAGGCAGCAAACGUUGUUCGGAUUCAUUGGGCGUAAAGGGUGCGCAGGUGGGUUUGCAAGUUCGAUGUGAAAGCCCCGGGCUUAACCCGGGAAUGGCAUUGGAUACUGCAGAUCUGGAGGAUCGGAGGGGGGGACUGGAAUUCUUGGUGUAGCAGUGAAAUGCGUAGAUAUCAAGAGGAACACCAGUGGCGAAGGCGAGUCCCUGGACGAUACCUGACACUGAGGCACGAAAGCUAGGGGAGCAAACAGG